AACUUUUGACAUUGGAUCACUUGGCUCUCGCAUCGAUGAAGAACGCAGCGAAAUGCGAUAAGUAAUGUGAAUUGCAGAAUUCAGUGAAUCAUCGAAUCUUUGAACGCAACUUGCGCUCUCUGGUAUUCCGGAGAGCAUGCCUGUUUGAGUGUCAUGAAAUCUCAACCAUUAGGGUUUCUUAAUGGCUUGGAUUUGGAGGUUGCCAUUCUAAAUGGCUCCUCUUAAAGGAGUUAGCAAGUUUUACUAUUGCUAUCUGGCGUAAUAAGUUUCGCUGGAAUGGUAUUGUGAAGCGUGCUUCUAAUCGUCUUCGGACAAUUACUUUGACUCUGGCCUCAAAUCAGGUAGGACUACCCGCUGAACUUAAGCAUAUCAAUAAGCGGAGGCU
rnacentral:misc_RNA from 1 species